AUUGAACGCUGGCGGCAUGCUUUACACAUGCAAGUCGAGCGGUAACAGGCCUUCGGGUGCUGACGAGUGGCGAACGGGUGAGUAAUGGAUCGGAACGUACCCAGAGGUGGGGGAUAACGCAGCGAAAGCUGUGCUAAUACCGCAUGUGAUCUGAGGAUGAAAGCGGGGGACCGAGCAGCAAUGUUUGGCCUCGCGCCUUUGGAGCGGCCGAUGUCGGAUUAGCUAGUUGGUGGGGUAAAGGCCUACCAAGGCGACGAUCCGUAGCUGGUCUGAGAGGACGACCAGCCACACUGGGACUGAGACACGGCCCAGACUCCUACGGGAGGCAGCAGUGGGGAAUUUUGGACAAUGGGCGCAAGCCUGAUCCAGCAAUGCCGCGUGCGGGAAGAAGGCCUUCGGGUUGUAAACCGCUUUUGGCAGGAACGAAACGGUGUCCGCUAAUACCGGGCGCUAAUGACGGUACCUGCAGAAUAAGCACCGGCUAACUACGUG
rnacentral:rRNA from 1 species